AUACGUAGGGGGCGAGCGUUGUCCGGAAUGACUGGGCGUAAAGGGCGUGUAGGCGGCGGUGUAAGUCUGGAGUGAAAGUCCCGCAUUCGAUGUGGGAAUUGCUUUGGAUACUGCAGUGCUAGAGUGCGGAAGAGGUAAGUGGAAUUACCAGUGUAGCGGUGAAAUGCGUAGAGAUUGGGAGGAACACCAGUGGCGAAGGCGACUUACUGGGCCGUAACUGACGCUGAGGCGCGAAAGCGUGGGGAGCGAACAGGAUUAGAUACCCUGGUAGUCCACGCGGUAAACGAUGAAUGCUAGGUGUUGCGGGUAUCGACCCCUGCAGUGCCGGAGUAAACACAAUAAGCAUUCCGCCUGGGGAGUACGGCCGCAAGGUUGAAACUCAAAUGAAUUGACGGGG
rnacentral:rRNA from 1 species